rnacentral:tRNA from 1 species
GGCGUUGUGUAAUGGUAAGACCUCAGUUUUCCAAACUGAAGACACGGGUUCGAUUCCCGUCGCCC